rnacentral:rRNA from 1 species
AAUGAACGUUGGCGGCGUGGAUUAGGCAUGCAAGUCGUACGGGCCAGCAAUGGUCAGUGGCGAAAGGGAGAGGAAUACGCAGGUAUCUGCCUCCGGGUCGGGGAUAGCCACGGGAAACUGUGGGUAAUACCCGAUAACGUCUCCGGACCAAAGGUGUGAUUCCACCUGGCGAGGAACCUGCGUCCUAUUAGCUUGUUGGCGGGGUAAUGGCCCACCAAGGCUACGAUGGGUACGGGGUGUGAGAGCAUGCCCCCGCUCACUGGGACUGAGACACUGCCCAGACACCUACGGGUGGCUGCAGUCGAGAAUCUUCCGCAAUGGGCGCAAGCCUGACGGAGCGACGCCGCGUGUGGGAUGAAGGCCUUCGGGUUGUAAACCACUGUCGUAGAGGAGGAAGGACCGGUGCAGAGCCGGUUUUGACCUAUUCUAGGAGGAAGGGUGGGCUAAGUUCGUGCCAGCCGCCGCCGUAAGAC